CCUACGGGUGGCAGCAGUGAGGAAUAUUGGUCAAUGGUCGGAAGUCUGAACCAGCCAAGCCGCGUGCGGGAAGACGGCUCUGUGAAUUGUAAACUGCUUUUGUACAAGGGUAAACCUGAAUACGUGUAUUCAGCUGAGAGUACUGUACGAAUAAGGAUCGGCUAACUCCGUGCCAGCAGCCGCGGUAAUACGGAGGAUCCAAGCGUUAUCCGGAUUUAUUGGGUUUAAAGGGUGCGUAGGCGGAUUGGUAAGUUAGAGGUGAAAUGUCCGGGCUUAACUCGGGAACUGCCUCUAAUACUGGCGAUCUAGAGAUUAGAUGCGGUAGGCGGAAUGUAUGGUGUAGCGGUGAAAUGCUUAGAGAUCAUACAGAACACCGAUUGCGAAGGCAGCUUACCAAUUCAUAUCUGACGUUGAGGCACGAAAGCGUGGGGAGCAAACAGGAUUAGAUACCCGGGUAGUC
rnacentral:rRNA from 1 species